rnacentral:rRNA from 1 species
GACGAACGCUGGCGACGCGCUUAACAUAUGCAAGUCGAACGGAAAGGCCUGCUUUCCCUUGUGGAUUGCGGGUACUCGAGUGGCGAACGGGUGAGUAACACGUGAGUGAUCUGCCCCCAACUUGGGUAUAAGCCUGGGAAACUGGGUCUAAUUCCCGAUAGGACUGCAGGGUGGUGCCUGUGGUGGAAAACGAUUUUCUAGUGGUUGGGGAUGAGCUCGCGGCCUAUCAGCUUGUUGGUGGGGUAAUGGCCUACCAAGGCGGCGACGGGUAGCCGGCCUGAGAGGGUGGACGGCCACAUUGGGACUGGGAUACGGCCCAGACUCCUACGGGAGGCAGCAGUGGGGAAUAGUGCACAAUGGGCGGAAGCCUGAUGCAGCGACGCCGCGUGGGGGAUGACGGCCUUCGGGUUGUAAACUCCUUUCGACCGCGAGGAAGCCACCUGGUUGGAAGGGUGGUGACGGUAGUGGUAGAAGAAGCACCGGCUAACUACGUG